rnacentral:lncRNA from 1 species
UACAUUCUAUGCUCUGUUGUUGAGCAUCUCUAAAACUGCAUAAGAAACUAAAGAUAUUACUCUACAAUUCAGACUAAAUUAUCUCAAGCACAAAAAUAAUACAUUAUAAGAAGUCAUGGAUCUCAUGGGUUGUAACGGACACCAAUUUGCUCUAUUGUCGUGGAGGACAAUAAAUGUCUCAAUCCUAUCUCAAGUUCUAGAUCAUUAUUUUAACAUUGAGAUCUCAAGUAAACAGAGUACAUAAAAUGUCUCAAUCCUAUCUCCAUCUUCUAGCAUCUUCCUUCAAGAACCCAGUGCUUUUGGUUUGAACAAUAUGCAGUCUCAAGGCCAUCAAUUUAAAGUCCCAUAUCAUUAUCAAGAAUGAACAACUCUCAAGCUUCCAACCCUCAAAUUCAAAUAAUAAAAAAAGUAAGAAAUUAGCAACGAUAUAUCUGAGAGGGAGAAAGGGGAGAGGUGGGAGAGAGAACAAUUCGAAAGAAAAAAAAAACAUAAUUAUAAUUUCAAAAAAUUACCAAAUUCCUAUAUAAAUCCAAAAUAUUACCAAAAAAAAAUAAAUAAGGACUUGCCAUUCAAUACCCAAAUCAUUAAGCCCUAAAUUAAAAUAGGACAUAUAAAUCAUUUUGUUAGAAAGUCUAGACCAAAAUUCAAAGUUGAAAUACUUUCUGCUAUGAUGCGAAUCAUCUAAAUCGCACAGUUAGAAAGAGAGGGAGAAAAUUAGAGUUCUUACCUGCCACAGAGAGGUUGAGAGAAAGCCAGCCACAGAGAGGUUGAGAGAAAGCCAGCCAUAGAGAUCCAGAUGAGAGUGAGAAAGGGAAAUCAUAACUAUGAAAACCUAAAAAAACAAAACAAAGAAACCAGCGAUGAAGCAGCAGCAACAAGGAAGAUACCCAGACCAAAAACCCUCGAAAGGAGAACGAAAUGAAGAAGGAGAAGAAGGAGCAUGACCUACUUGAGAGGAGAGGAGAUGUGGUCGCCGGCAUCGUCUCGUCGUCACAGAAGGAGGAGAGGAGCUGCUGUAGAAGGAAUCAAACUCGAAGAGAAAGAAAUGAGAAACCCAACCCUAAACUUGAAAUGUCUCUGACUGAGAGAGCAAGUAUUUUUUUAUUUUUUAUUUGGUUUUACCUACAGCAACCAAUUUAACCGGUAACCAACAAUCA